CCUACGGGAGGCAGCAGUGGGGAAUAUUGGGCAAUGGGCGCAAGCCUGACCCAGCAACGCCGCGUGAAGGAAGAAGGCUUUCGGGUUGUAAACUUCUUUUAAGAGGGAAGAGCAGAAGACGGUACCUCUUGAAUAAGCCAUGGCUAACUACGUGCCAACAGCCGCGGUAAUACGUAGGUGGCAAGCGUUGUCCGGAAUUACUGGGGGUAAAGGGCGUGCAGCCGGGAAGACAAGUCAGAUGUGAAAUCCCGCGGCUCAACCGCGGAACUGCAUUUGAAACUGUUUGUCUUGAGUACCGGAGAGGUCAUCGGAAUUCCUUGUGUAGCGGUGAAAUGCGUAGAUAUAAGGAAGAACACCAGUGGCGAAGGCGGAUGACUGGACGGCAACUGACGGUGAGGCGCGAAAGCGUGGGGAGCAAACAGGAUUAGAUACCCGAGUAGUC
rnacentral:rRNA from 1 species